CCAGACUCCUACGGGAGGCAGCAGUAGGGAAUUUUGCGCAAUGGGCGAAAGCCUGACGCAGCAACGCCGCGUGAUCGAGACGCCCUUCGGGGUGUAAAGAUCUGUCAGUGGGGACGAAACUUGACGGUACCCACAGAGGAAGCACCGGCUAACUCCGUGCCAGCAGCCGCGGUAAUACGGGGGGUGCAGGCGUUGUCCGGAAUUACUGGGUGUAAAGGGAGAGUAGGCGGCAAGGUAAGCGAUAUGUGAAAGCCUUAGGCUUAACCAAAGGAUUGCAUAACGAACUAUCUAGCUAGAGUACAGGAGAGGAAAGCGGAAUUCCUAGUGUAGCGGUGAAAUGCGUAGAUAUUAGGAAGAACACCAGUGGCGAAGGCGGCUUUCUGGACUGAAACUGACGCUGAGGCUCGAAAGCGUGGGGAGCGAACAGGAUUAGAUACCCCUGUA
rnacentral:rRNA from 1 species